ACAAAAUACUGUCUUUCUGAUCUUUGAUAGUUACUCUUUUUAUGUACAAGGGCUGUUCCAAAAGUAAUGGCUCCUAUUGUAUUAUAUCAGUCCAUGAUGUUGUCAGAAGUGGAUCUUGGUGGUACAGCAGCAGAGGUUGAACCUUCCCACCAAUAUUCCAUUACUCUUGUUGCCAUGUGACAGAUGGCAGCAGCAGAGCUGUCUGACCAAAUGGCGUCUGACAUGGAAGCGCAUAUGAAGCAAAGGUGUCACUGAAUUCCUCCGUGCAGAAAAUAUGGCACCCAUUGACACUCAUCAACGCUUGCUGAAUGUUUAUGGAGACCAAACAGUGGAUGAGAGCACAAUGAGAUGCUGCAGCAGCAACGAGGGCCUGGAAAGAGGAGACAGAAGUCUUUUUGCUUCUCUGACAGCGUAAUAAAGGUGACUGUGUCCUUCCCUCCACUUCAACGGAGAUGCAACCAGGAUCAAUCUUUUUAAUGCAGCCACAACGAAGGAGAAAUUGAAAAGGAUGCUCUCAACAUGAUUUGUGAGAAGAGCUACAAAACUGUCUGGAAAAUUUCUCCUCGACAGAAAGACGGAAGAAGCUCGGUUUCCUUAGCUUAUUACAGUGGAGUCUGAGCACGGAUUAGAUCAUAGAGCUCUGUGGGAACAAGCUAAAAAUAAACAACAGUAUUAUCAUGAAGACUGAUUUACAAACAUUUACCGAACUUGCUGUACCAAGCACUGGCCAGUGAAAUAUGGAAAAUGCCUGAGAAGAAUCAGCGAGCUUCACUCUGCUGUGGUGGGAAAGCUUUAGCACAAGUUUGCUUAAAGCCACUUCACUAAGCACAGAGUGACGCAAAUGUGGGGAUCACGGCAAGGAGACACAGCAUCUGUUCUGUCAGUGAGCUCAUGGGGUGCCCUCCCAUGGCUGGUGCACCCUUAAUGAUGAUGCUGGGGUGAGAGAAAGGGAUGCAGCACAGGCAGACAUGUUCUCCUUUUCUUCCUCCACGUGUGGGAGCACAUCUGAGUUCACUGUGGAUGUGGAACAGCCUAAAAUAGAGUGUAAAACCUGAACACAAUAAUACCACUGGGACACCACGUGUAAAUGCAAGGAGAAGCAAAUGAUUAGCCUAGCAAAAAGAGGUGUUUGGGAAGAGACCCCCAGGAGGGGAACUACCUGUUAAUAAUGAGUCUUGAUGAACCACAUCUAUAUGCAAGUGAUGCUGCAAAAAAUUCAGACACCAGGCAUUUGUUUUCUCUCUUUCCUCAGCCAGAACAUCAUUGUGUUUUUUUUCCUUAGCUCUGCAACUCAAGUUAUUAAUUAACAAGUAUUAUCAAGGGAGAUUUUGCUGUAGGUUGUCAAUUUACAAAUAACUUUUCUAAUUUAAAACCUGAUCUGGAGACCUAUUGCUGCCAAAAUACAGCACAUUAAAUUCCAGUUAAGUACUUAAUUAAUAUAGAUAAGUGUAAACUACAAAUUGCCCUUAUGAUGCAGGUACAGAACCUCCCUAGACAAUGCAAACAUCAAGGUUCAAGCAGACAGAACAGGGAUAUAGGAUUAGCUGCAUCUGCAUUUCUAGUUUGGAUAGUUCAUUAACAAAGGGUUGGCAUAAUAUUUACUGUUCCUUGUUCUCAGUGUUUAUUGCUAGCAUCAUAUUCAUUGAACAGUACACUACUAUUACGCUUGUAGUUGCAGUUGGAUGCUUCCCAUUGCUUUCAUUUCUUCCACGGCACGCCAAGAUUUUAACAGCUUCAAGGUCUAACCAUGCAGUUUCUGCUCUGCCUGACAAAAUUCCCAUUGGAUUACAUGUUGUGAGAUUAUUUCAGUAUUUGGAUGCACAGUAAAAAAAAAAAAAAUAGGCGGGGAGGGUGGAGGAGAUGGGAGUAUUCCUUGCCUUUCUCUGUAUAAUCUUCCCUGCCAGGAAUGGAGAGCAAAGAAUCUGUUAUGGCCUAACACACUUCCCUACUGUAUCAAUUCCAGGUGAAACAAGCCCCCUUGAGAGCUCUGCAAGGUGAGAGACAAGUUGUGCUCACCUCAAUGCAGCCAUUUUUCUUCCCUUGUCUCUCUGGAGAUGAAUGAGCCCAUCCUUCCCCCCAGCCAGUGCCAGCUCACAUUUCCUUUAACUUCAUUGGAGAGCUGUCUAGCAUCAUUCAGUGCCUGGAUAAUUAACUGAAAAGCCCCAUUGUUUUCUUGCUUCAAAGUGCAGAGAAUUUGGCUUGGUAGUGCUAAUGGGAUUGCAUGUCAUUUGUGGAAUUUGCUUAAUCACCGCAUAUUGACUUUCUGUCGAAAUCAGAUUAUUUUAGCCAUAUUGAUUGCACAGUAAUAAAAUUGCUGUGAAAAUCUUUUCAUUAAAUGUUAUAAAUAUCCCUGCUAAUUCAAUGUAUAUGCCCCGUUGUUUUCAUUUGGCUCCCUAAUGAUUAAACCAGUUCUUUCAACUUGAUUGUACAGUAAUGUCUGAAAGUAUUGAUAAGUGACCUUUCCAUUUUAUUUGAUAUUAAGCACUGUGCCACUUGGUUUUAAAACUGGAGAACAUUCACUGUUCAUUUCUACGUAACCCUAGUCACAUUUGUGUGUACGUGCCUACAGGCAGAACUGUGUGGUUUGUGGCAGGAGCAUGUCCCAUUCACUAGCUCAACCUCUAAAGGUGAUGUGUUGCUACGCCAUUGCAUUCCUCAUUUGCAUUUGUAACCCCCCAGAAUUGGAGAGCCAAAAUGCCCCAGCAUUUUCAUAAGUCACUGCAAGGAAGAACUUUAAAGAAAUAUUCUGCUAAGGUUUUUGUAGCACAUGUAAACUGCACUGAUGGCUAGAAACCUCCUUUCGUCUGCUGAUAUUUCAGCACCCAAUUCUGUAAUUAUUGCUGUUCUAUUAAACUUGCCCCCUAGUAUAUUACUCUGCUGACCUCUACUUUCUGGCAUCACGGUCAACAUGAAGAAUGUCAGCUUCCAGGCAGUAACAUCUGCACAUACAAGCAGCACCAGCACAGUUGCUCUGUGGAUGAGGACACUCAAGGUCAGUGCUUACAAACAAUCCGGAGAUGGCUUUUAUCUGAUGAGGAUGCUUACCUGCAGGAACAACCUACACUUUCAAAAGAGCUACAUCAAUAGCAUGAAACAGCUUACCACAAAAUUACCUCCUUGCUGAAUAUGCAUUCUCAGCAGGAACAUGCGGUCAGCUCCAUCCCACCUCAGGAAAUGAUUGAGAGCUUCCUGAGAACUUCCUGUGCUGA
ensembl:lncRNA